AUUGAACGCUGGCGGCAGGCCUAACACAUGCAAGUCGAGCGGAGAGGCGGACGGGUGCGUAAUGCCUAGGAAUCUGACUGGUAGUGGGGGAUAACGUCCGGACACGGGCGCUAAUACCGAAUACUCUCAGAAGAGCCUAGGGCGGAUUGGCUAGUUGGUGGGGUAAAGGCCUACCAAGGCGACGAGCCCUAACUGGUCUGAGAGGAUGAUCAGUCACACUGGAACUGAGACACGGUCCAGACUCCUACGGUAGGCAGCAGUGGGGAAUAUUGGACAAUGGGCGAAAGCCUGAUCCAGCCAUGCCGCGUGUGUGAAGAAGGUCUUCGGAUUGUAAAGCACUUUAAGUUGGGAGGCGUUACCAACAGAAUAAGCACCGGCUAACUUCGUGCCAGCAGCCGCGGUAAUAC
rnacentral:rRNA from 1 species